rnacentral:misc_RNA from 1 species
GACGAAGAACGUAGCGAAAUGCGAUAAGUAAUGUGAAUUGCAGAAUUCAGUGAAUCAUCGAAUCUUUGAACGCACAUUGCGCCCGUCAGUAUUCUGGCGGGCAUGCCUGUUCGAGCGUCAUUACGCCCCUCAAGUCCCCUGUGGACUUGGUGUUGGGGAUCGGCGAGGCUGGUUUUCCAGCACAGCCGUCCCUUAAAUUAAUUGGCGGUCUCGCCGUGGCCCUCCUCUGCGCAGUAGUAAAACACUCGCAACAGGAGCCCGGCGCGGUCCACUGCCGUAAAACCCCCCAACUUUUUAUAGUUGACCUCGAAUCAGGUAGGACUACCCGCUGAACUUAAGCAUAUCAAUAAGCGGAGGA